AGGGAAUCUUCGGCAAUGGGGGCAACCCUGACCGAGCAACGCCGCGUGAGUGAAGAAGGUUUUCGGAUCGUAAAGCUCUGUUGUAAGAGAAGAACGAGUGUGAGAGUGGAAAGUUCACGCUGUGACGGUAUCUUACCAGAAAGGGACGGCUAACUACGUGCCAGCAGCCGCGGUAAUACGUAGGUCCCGAGCGUUAUCCGGAUUUAUUGGGCGUAAAGCGAGCGCAGGCGGUUAGAUAAGUCUGAAGUUAAAGGCUGUGGCUUAACCAUAGUACGCUUUGGAAACUGUUUAACUUGAGUGCAAGAGGGGAGAGUGGAAUUCCAUGUGUAGCGGUGAAAUGCGUAGAUAUAUGGAGGAACACCGGUGGCGAAAGCGGCUCUCUGGCUUGUAACUGACGCUGAGGCUCGAAAGCGUGGGGAGCAAACAGGAUUAGAUACCCUGGUAGUCCACGCCGUAAACGAUGAGUGCUAGGUGUUAGACCCUUUCCGGGGUUUAGUGCCGCAGCUAACGCAUUAAGCACUCCGCCUGGGGAGUACGACCGCAAGGUUG
rnacentral:rRNA from 1 species